UUGGGCCUCGGAGGAGCGCCAGAGAGAUGGAGCGUCUAAAAAGACCUCGCUGAAAAUGCCGUCGAGGGGUGGCGGAAACCUGUCCCCCGCGCGGGGGGCAGCCUCCUGCCGGGGUGCGGGCAAGCCCCGGGGCUGCUGCUGCCUCGCUAGGUCUGUCGAUGCUGGCUCCAGAAAAAGCUGUCCAAGUCCUGUUCUCUGGAACGGCUCCUGUGGGAUCCGCGUCCAAAAAUGUUGAGCAACACCGCAGACAGCCAAAAAGCCAUUUCCUACUUGCUCCUAGGACUUUUCCAGGGGACUCCAGCCUGGCAGAGGCUGGCAAGUUUGCAGUCUUUGCGCUUGACAAAAAUCCAAACGGUGGCCGCGAAGAUUUUGCCCACCCUCAGGGUAGGAGGCGGUGGGCUCCAGCAGUCCAUCGGGGCGUGCGGCAGAGCUGGCGUUCCCGUUACGAGAGAAGGCUGUAAACUGGAAAGGCUCCAGGACAGUGGGUCGUGCGCCGGGCUCAGUGUUCACGGUCACAGUGUGAGUUUAUGGACGGGGAGUUUGAUCUGGAAACGAAUUUGCGGCUUCCUCAUGUCCUUUGUACACCACUGAUCUUGGGCUUGGGCUAGAGAGCUGGAUGAACGGCCGAGAGCCAGCCAGGAGCAGGAGGCACUGAGAAAGGGGGAGAGACGAAUCACUAACUUUUAGGAAUGAAAGACACAACGAAAGGUAACCUUCGACACGACUCAGCCCCCCCAAACCCCGCUGCUCCGCCGGCACCGGGAAAGCUCUUCUGUUCCUCUCUGCCUUUGCUUUGCUCAGCGCAAAAAAGAACCCAGUAAUAACCAAGACAGAGGGCACGGCGAGGGCCGGAGGUGCCUGCGGAGGCGAGGGCAGCGCACGUCCGAGGCCGUCCUGUUUGAACACGCUCCAGACGGAGCUUUGAUCCCCGCUGGGGAGCAAGCACCGGGUAUCUCUGCUUUGUUGGCCGUCGCUAUCUGUUGGCGAUAAGGGGUGGCCGGGGGAGCUGCCCUCGCAGCCCUUCUGCUGCAGGCUCUGUGCGGAAAGCGGUCGGCGGGGCGAUGCGGCGGCCGCGGGAGAGGGGGCACUGCAGCCCCAGGAAAGGCUCAGAGCGGGAGGCCCUGCCCGCCUGUCUCCCUGCCUGCCCGCCUGCCUCCUGGGGAGGGCACCGGCCCCGGAGCUGCGCCUCGGGGCUUCUCCGGCUUCCUCUCCUCCCAAGUCUGGCCCUCCUUCCCCCGACCCCUCGUCCUUUGCACGUCUUUAUUAUUUCUAGUAUUAAACAAAAGAAAUUUGUCCUCGAAGUCAAGCGGCAGGAUCCGAUGUUUUUUCUCUCUCUUAAACGAAGCUGAAUUAAGCCUCUGAAGCAAAGAUGCCCCGAAGAGAAUGGGGGCAGAAAGUAAAACCGUCUCCCGUGAAAAACGCGCUCAGGCUGAGGUGCCCCGGGCUGGGCUCGCAGGGUCCCCGGCGGAGCUCCCAGCCCUUUGCACGCCCUCCACUAGUGCAUCCUCGGCUCUGGUGAGUGCACGGCUCAGCUAUUGCUUCCACAUGUUCCUCCAGGAAAUCAUCGGAGUCGGAGCUGUGAGCAGCCCCUGGUCGGAAUGCUUGCGAAUAAACAACAGGCUCCCAGUGAGCCAAAAGCAUGCCCCCCCCCAAAAAAAAAAAAAUAUAAAGGUGGGAGGGGAAGAAACAAACAAACAAACAACCCUGCACCCUGGAACUCUCUACCUGGGCAGUGGGGGCGAGCACAGCCAGCAACCUGAACCCCUUAAUUUGUGGAGGGCAAGGUCCUCUCAUGACUUGGGUCAGAGUUGCAGGCUCUCAUAGAUUUAGGGCCCACGAAGACGUGCGGUUCAGACUGGCGGCAAAUAACUGCCUGGGAGCUCGGAGGCGAUCCAGCCCUGCCAGGCUCGGGGCGUGAUUUACCGGCGUGAACGUAUCUGUUUUAACGUGCGAGGUGGUGGCGGUGAUUCUUGGCGAAGUACCGUCAGGAUGGGAUGUAAUGCGAGAGUUACUCUUACGAAAAGAAAGGAGCAAAAGGAAGAGGAGGAGGCGCCUUCUGGUUGCAAUUACCUGCCUCAUUUGAAUAAUGUCUUUGUCAUGAUCAUUAUCGAGCGGUUGUUAACGGCUUCCACGUGGGAUCUCACAAGACUCGGCGAAAAACAAAAAUUGCAAAUUGGGGCACUGGCAAAGCUGCCGGCCCGGCCAGGCUGGCGCUGCGGGCGGGGAGCCCGACGGCCUCUGCGGGGGCAGGGACGGUGGUAUCGCCGUCGCCUCAGGGCCUCUCCGGGGAGCAGUGACACUUUCCCCGACGUGGCUUCACCCUUCCCCAAGCAAAGGACCGGGCCGCGCUGUCCCCACACUCGCCGCACCGGGGAGAGACCGCACGGCCCGGGACGGGCAGCUGCUGGGCCGAUCCCUCUCCGAAAUGCCGGCGGUGCCUAUGGAUUGGUCCCGCGCAGAGGAGAUGGUAGUUAAAAUAAACCCUCCAGGACGGCUCCUGAGCUCUACCCCCCGCCCCGUGCGGCUCAGGGGGGUCCUGUCCAGGGAGGAGCGGGAGACUUGGGGUUAGCGAGAGGACAGGCUGGGGGUGGGGGGAUUUGCACCACUGCAGCCCCCUCUCCUCGCCCCUCUCCUCCCGCCUUCCCCUCCCCCGAAAGGCUGGAGCAUAAGGCAUCCCGCUAGCGUGUGUUUAUGCGGCAACAGAUGGAAGCUGCACAUCUUAAACAAAACUGCGGCGACCGGGCUAGAGCCACUCUCGCCUGUUUACGCUCCCAACCUGCCCCCCUGGGGGUGUGUUCCUCCCCGCAGCGCCCGCAGAGUCCGGGCAACGAGCCCCGACGGGGCGGGUUUUUGCAGGGCGGCUCGCUCCGCUCUCGGACGCUUCCAGGGGAGCUGGGAGCAGUUGAGCGCCCCCCCAUCCUCAAGGAGUCCCAAUUUGCUGAGAAUAAUGAGCCCUUCCCUGCAACUCUCUCCCAAGGGUGAGCCGGGCAGCGUUUAGCUGCCUGAGGCUAUUAGGCAGCCUAAUAGGUGGCUCAUGUGGGGUCUGAACGGCCUCCUGCGGGGCGUGGGCGAGCGAGAUGGGGUGCCCCGGCUCGGCGCCCCGCGGGAAGUCCCGUCAUGGGGCCGCAGCCUUUUGUCUCGGUGGGAAGGCAGGUCUGGGUUUGAUUAUCGUUACCCACGUUGCAGCGAUGCACGGUGCGGGGGUCAGCUACAGCUGGCUCACGCUUUUGGAGCAGGAGCCCCAGCCUGGUAAAGAGCAGCUCCAGCCUGAAGCAGAGACCCCUCAAACUCCCUAGUGAGGAAGGAGGCAGAACAGCCUCUCAUCGUCGCUAUAAAUCUGUGCUCGCAUCUACCGUGGAGGGAGGAGAACACAGCGGUGAGGGCUUCCUACUACAGAAGAGGAGCAAGUCAGGGGACCGCCAAGCCCCCUAGCCCCUCCGGGAGGGGUGUGCUGCCUGCAGGAGGUCACUGUGUGCAUUUACAGUCCUACCAGUUGUUGGGAGGGGGAUUUUGUGUUUAAGUUAGUUUGUUAUUUUUUUUCUUUCCCUCUUGCCACAACAUCAGAUUCCCUUAUUCUGUUUGUUCAAAAUGAUGUGACUCUGAAUAGCAGGGAUUCCGUGUCACCGGGAGAGCAGGAAGCCAGACAAAAGAAAUUAUGGGCUGCCCUGAGUUUGCCCAGUCUCCCCUCAGUAACCUUUAUUUUGAUUCCCCACAUGGUUGGUUAACGUAGUUCCCCGUGCCCAUCGUUUUCUCACUGAGGCCGCUGCUGUUGCAGCGUUUUGCCUUCAUUGUUGUGUUUGGCUCUUGACAUUAAAAGAUGCCAAAACAGCCGUGGAAGCCUUAAUGUUUGAAAAACAAACUUUGUUUUUCCUUCUUCUCCCUCCCUGACUUUUUAACUGGGACAGAAAGAAAAGGCCACUCUGGUUCAGAAGUGGCCCAAACCCAAUUUAAGGGUAAGGCAGCCCAGAAAGGCGAGAGGAAGACGGGUUGUUCCUCCCGCCAGCACUUCACUAGCGCCUUGCUCCGCCCUUCGCGCUGCCCCAGCCCCCCAACCCCCGGGGCGGGGAGCUCCCGGAGCCCCCUUUCACCACCGGCCGAGGGUGCCCGGGCAGCGGCGCCACCGCCCGCAACGCUAGAGGGCAGCGGAGCCCGCGGGAGCAGCGAGCCCGACGGAGCCCGGGGCAUCGGGCGCCCCGCCAGUCUGCGGUGUCUCUGUUGUUGAUUCGACUGGGUUUGUAAAGAACGGGGAAGACGGGCCGCCCUCCCAUCCCCGCAGGUCCAGCCCUGUACUGCCCCGAGCUGUCGUGGGCCGGGCUCAGCAGCUCGGGAUGUGGCAUGCUGCAAGUAAAGAACAGAGAGCUAUUCCUCCCGAGCCACAAAUGAAAAGUUUUCUCUCUGAAAUCAAAGGACCUCCUGGGCUGAUUCAGCCCAGGUUUGAUUUCGGUUCAUAAGUCCCGAGACCAUUAUCUCUGCCUUUGUUCUUUCAAGCUGCAGCAAUUAAUGGAUUACAGCGGGACACAAGCACAACCAGACCAGGCUGCUUUGGUUCUUUGUCUACUUACUAUUAGUAUCAGCUUUGCCCCCUCGGGCAGCUGCGUUUAGGGACCUAGCCCUGAGAUCUGCAUGGGGAACCUGGCUGGUGCGGAGGCCACCCUGGACAUAGUAGUCACAGUUACCCUGGACACAAUGGGCAUAGGCCAGCCCUGGUCCAUGUCAGCAUCAACCCCCACAUAUGCCAUGACUGACCUCAUCCACUGUACAUCCCUCCCACGGGCACAGAAGAGCCAAGGUAGGCUGAGCAUCAUGGCGGGGGGGAGACUCACAAGAGCCAGACCUCUUUACUGACUACCCUGAAUUGCCCAGCUCCAGACAUGGGAUAUCAUUUUUCUGCUUCUUCUCAGGACAGAUUUUCUUCUGAUGCUUAGUGAUAAACAACUCAUCCCUCUGUGAUGAUUUGCCACAGAAUAACUGGAGCCAUGGCCAAGGUUUCUGAAUUAUAAUUUGCUUUCUAAAAGAAUCCCUUACCUCCCUGCAUAUUUCAUGCUCUAAAAUACCAUGACAAACAGAACAUUAUUCCUCUGUUUCUGUGGCAUGUAGAUUCUGAGAAUAAGUCUCCUCAUGCCAGGGAUGAAGGGGAAGAAGAGCCAACAAUGCCUCCUAAGAGAAUGAAGAGUUGGGGUUUGUGUGGAAACAGUGGAGGUUUUGAGUCAUCCAAUACUUUCCAAUACAGGUCAACCCCUAAUCCACCAUUAAGAACUGCAAGGAUCAGCAUCAGCAUUGACAAAAUCAGCAGAAAGCUCCAGACCUGGAAACAAAUCUAGUCAUUCCUCUUAGUUAUUGAAUUCAAGUCUUCGUUUUACCAAGAUAGUGCUAGAGGUGUGUCGGCAGGAGGUGUGAAUCACAUUGUCAUUCUUCUUGCAGCACUGUGUGUUUCCUGUACUCAGACACAAAACUGAGGUCGGUUCCACAACCGUAAUCUGUGAUGGAAGAAAUCAAACAGAUGCCAAUCACACCUAGAGCCACUCCAAGAGUGCCGGUGACUGAAGCCUGAACAUGCAUUCUUGAGUUGGGAUGCAGGAGGGACUGAUACUGAAAAGUCAGGGCAAACUGUUUCUCUCUUUUUUAUCACUUCUAGAAAAGACUAUUUUGGCUUUUCUCUUUGUCUGAGGUCACCAGAUUCCAUUCGAAGCUUCCUCUGAUGCUGCAGGGAACACUUGCUACUUCAGUUACAAGUCUGCACAUUGUUGACAAUCCUUUAGAGUACUCUGUUAUAUGCACUUCAGUUGGGCAAGGUGGUUGAAAAGGAAGGAAUGAAGAAGUGAGAUGAGAGGAAAAUACAGAGAUAGGUCCCUUCCCUGUAGCCAUGGCAGUGAAGCUACAGCUCAGGCUCAGCUCAGCCAGGGGACCUCUGGCAUGACUCAUGAAGAGAGGAUACAGCAGUAUGUAGGUAGAUGUUGAUCCUUGGACUUCUGUCUGUUUUAGUCAGAUACCCCAGUUUUUAACCUAAACUGUCUUUUGAGAAAGUGUCUAGUGUGGAAACUGGGACAGAUUCUGCUUUGUGUAAAUCUGGUGUAACUCCAACUUCAAGGGAAAUAUGCCAGAUUAAAUCUGGUAUAAUUACGAUUAAAAAUUGGCUCUGCAAGUCUUUUCUUUGGCAAUAAAUUUAGAGAAGUACUGUGAAGAAAAAUAAUUCAAACCAGAACAUUGUUUCAGUGCUGUUUUAAAUAACAUAUGCUAUAGGAGCUUUGAAGGCAUUUGUUCUCCAUGGCAGCAGUAUUUUAAAACUUUCACUUUGUUUCCACUAACCAAGUUAACCCUUGAUAACCAACUGUGUUUACAAUAUGUUAUAUACAGAAGUUUAUCAUUUUAUAGGCAUUUCCUCCUCAAAAAAAAAAAAAAAAAAAAAAAAAAAGUUAAAAUUAUG